GCAGAUGGUCGAGAAGGUAACUUAUUCACUGUUUAAUUUGGUCUGUUUAUUCUGUUGGCAAUUAGUUCCAUUCCUCAGGGCCCACUGUUCGCUGCUGUUCCCACCAUGCUCUGAACCAUUGGAGACUGUGCAUUGCGCAGGAAGACAUUCUGGAUUUGGAGAGCUGGUGCUUCUGGUGACAUUGAGAAAUCUCUCAGCUGCCUGGCUACAGGCUAGUCACAGCUGUAAAUCUGGGCUAUAA
rnacentral:lncRNA from 1 species